rnacentral:rRNA from 1 species
GACGUAGGGUGCGAGCGUUAAUCGGAAUUACUGGGCGUAAAGUGUGCGCAGGCGGCCGCGCAAGUCGAGUGUGAAAGCCCCGAGCUUAACUUGGGAAUUGCGCUCGAAACUACGUGGCUGGAGUGUGGCAGAGGAAGGUGGAAUUCCACGUGUAGCGGUGAAAUGCGUAGAGAUGUGGAGGAACACCAAUGGCGAAGGCAGCCUUCUGGGCCGAACACUGACGCUCAUGCACGAAAGCGUGGGGAGCGAACAGG